rnacentral:rRNA from 1 species
CCUACGGGUGGCAGCAGUGGGGAAUAUUGCACAAUGGGGGAAACUCUGAUGCAGCGAAGCCGCGUGAGUGAGGAAGUAUCUCGGUAUGUAAAGCUCUUUUAGCAGGGAAGUAAAUGACGGUACCUGACUAAGAAGCUCCGGCGAACUAGAUGCCAGCAGCCGUGGUAAUACGGAGGGGGCAAGCGUUAUCCGGAUUUACUGGGUGUAAAGGGGGCGUAGGCGGCUAGUCAAGUCAGAAGUGAAAGCCCAGGGCUCAACCUUGGAACUGCUUUUGAAACUGAGUAGCUAGAGUGCAGGAGAGGUAGGCGGAAUUCCUAGUGUAGCGGUGAAAUGCGUAGAUAUUAGGAAGAACACCAGUGGCGAAGGCAGCUUACUGGACUGUAACUGACGUUGAGGCUCGAAAGCGUGGGGAGCAAACAGGAUUAGAUACCCUUGUAGUC